GUGCCAGCAGCCGCGGUAAUACCGGCAGCCCAAGUGAUGGCCGAUCUUAUUGGGCCUAAAGCGUCCGUAGCUGGCCGCGCAAGUCCAUCGGAAAAUCCACCCGCUCAACGGGCGGCCGUCCGGCGGAACCUGUGUGGCUUGGGACCGGGAGGCCUGAGGGGUACGAUCGGGGUAGGAGUGAAAUCCUGUAAUCCCGCUCGGACCGCCGAUGGGGAAACCACCUCAGGAGGACGGAUCCGACAGUGAGGGACGAAAGCCAGGGUCUCCAACCGGAUUAGAAACCCGUGUAGUCC
rnacentral:rRNA from 1 species